GAUGAACGCUGGCGGCGUGCCUAAUACAUGCAAGUCGAACGCUGGAGCUCUAGCUUGCUAGAUCGAAGGAGUGGCGAACGGGUGAGUAAUACAUAAGCAACCUACCCACGAAGACUGGGAUAAUCUCUGGAAACGGGGACUAAUACCGGAUAGGUAAUCGGAAGGCAUCUUCUGGUUAUUAAAGGUUAAAAACACUGGUGGAUGGGCUUAUGGCGCAUUAGUUAGUUGGUGAGGUAACGGCCCACCAAGACGAUGAUGCGUAGCCGGCCUGAGAGGGUGAACGGCCACAUUGGGACUGAGACACGGCCCAGACUCCUACGGGAGGCAGCAGUAGGGAAUUUUCGGCAAUGGGGGCAACCCUGACCGAGCAACGCCGCGUGAGUGAAGACGGCCUUCGGGUUGUAAAGCCCUGUUGUAAGGGAAGAACGGUAGAUAGAGAAUAUCUAAGUGACGGUACCUUACCAGAAAGCCACGGCUAACUACGUG
rnacentral:rRNA from 1 species